AGCCGAGCUCGCGUAGACGGGCCUGGCCUGUAUCCACUGAGCCGUUACCGUUUUGCACCUGAGAUGGGAGGACCAUAUUUUCUUCACCACCAUGUCCACGAGCCCAACCCAUAUUUCUCUAGGGAGAGGGAGAGGGAGAGAGGUGGGGGUGCUCUUUGGAUGAAUCAGAGGCACCCUGUCUCUCUUUCCCUUCUUUGUGGUAUUCUUAAUGAUUCUUUAGAAUCAGAAUAGACUUUACUGGGUCUCUGCAAAUACUUUUAUAAACAGAUAUUUAUACAGAGAGAGAGAGAGAACCGUUAAUGGUUUUGCGAAUUGGAAUUGGAAUCUACGUUGAUUAAAAAAAAAUUGGAAUCUACGGAUCGUUGGAGGAAUGACGGUUGGAAAAGAUAAAGUAUGACAAAUGUGGAGCACACAUAUACUGAAAGGUUUCAGCUACAUCUUCAGCACAUCCAUCUGCGUUCAUAGCAUUUUUGCUGAACAUAUACCAAUACCUCUCUGACAUCGGGCCGCCUUAUGAGCACAACAAGCUCUAUUGUGACGCACAAAUAAAGUCUCCUUCACAAGUUUGAAAAUGUGAUUCUAAUUACGUAUUUUGUCAGACCCUAAGGGCUACGGUGACGCCAAUAUUCUACUUUGGCUCCUUGAUUUUGAUUUUUUUUAGAAAAAUUAACUUCUCCUUUAAUCACUUUGGAUUUACCAUCCAAACGAGAAGAAUUAAAAAAAAAAUACAUCAAGAUUUAUGCAUUGACACUUGAAAAUAAAUUAAUAUUAUGAAAACUUAAAAAAUACUAAUAUAUUAAAAUUAUGAAAUGAGAAUUAUGUUUAAAAUAGAGUAGGUGGAGUAUGAAUAACAAUAAUUCAGGGGGGAGAUCAGUCAAACAAAGCCACCAAUGAUAUCUUUGACGCGCUGGAUCAGAUCAGAUAACUGUAUGAAAGCAGUCAGUGUUUUUUUUUUUUUGUCUCCUUUCACGACUUCAUAUUCCUUCUAUUUACGGUUUUGGCCAUACAACUCCAUUAAUAAAUUUCACCCUAACACAUUCCUCCAAAUUAAGAACGCAAGUACUUUAUUUUUUAUUUUUCUAAAAUCACACGUCUUUUCAUAAAGAACUUCCGUAUCUUUUUGAGAUGAAUGAAACAUUUAUUGCAGUU